rnacentral:rRNA from 1 species
CCUACGGGUGGCAGCAGUGGGGAAUAUUGGACAAUGGGCGAAAGCCUGAUCCAGCCAUGCCGCGUGUGUGAAGAAGGCCUUCGGGUUGUAAAGCACUUUCAGUGGGGAAGAAAGCCUUGGGGCUAAUACCCUCGAGGAAGGACAUCACCCACAGAAGAAGCACCGGCUAACUCCGUGCCAGCAGCCGCGGUAAUACGGAGGGGUGCGAGCGUUAAUCGGAAUUACUGGGCGUAAAGCGCGCGUAGGCGGUCUGAUAAGCCGGUUGUGAAAGCCCCGGGCUCAACCUGGGAACGGCAUCCGGAACUGUCAGGCUAGAGUGCAGGAGAGGAAGGUAGAAUUCCCGGUGUAGCGGUGAAAUGCGUAGAGAUCGGGAGGAAUACCAGUGGCGAAGGCGGCCUUCUGGACUGACACUGACGCUGAGGUGCGAAAGCGUGGGUAGCAAACAGGAUUAGAUACCCGUGUAGUC